AUUCACCACCAGGUAGACAGCCUCCAUGAUAGGGCUGCGAAGUUCAGGACAAAAGGAAGGCUGGCUCCUCAGGGAAGGCGGUGUCAAGGUUGCCACUAUUGUGGCGAGAUCGGAGUGAAUUUGGAAGGGAUGCGAACGUCUAACCAAGGAAGAAGCAAGGGCUACAGAAGUGGGCUUCAGGGAAGACUUUUACAGAAGGGAACGGCGUCCCGGCUUGGAAGGCGGAAUGUUCGGGAGCGAAGAGGUGAAACAUCUCUAAAGUGACAGCGAGCCUGGACCGGAGGAAGCACCUCAGCGUUAGGAGCCUGGAGCGCACAUCAGAACCCAUGUCCUUGAAACAUGAAGUCAUUGAAGUACACAAAAGCCACAGUCUGUGGUUGUGCAGGGAAGAGAGGCACUUGGAUGCUCCUGCCUUCUAGCUUGCGGUUCCAGAAGGACCACACGUCAUUGCCUGCCACCACAGAUGCCAAUACGCCCAGAUUGGAAAUGACUCUAAGCUAUGACUUUCCACAGAGCCAGCAGUCUGAGAAGAAAGAAUUCACAUCCCAUCGAGCAGGCCAGAUGUAUCAGCACAUGUUUUUUAACCCAGCACUUGGGAGACCGAGGCAGGUCUCUGUGAGUUUGAGGCCAGGCUAUUCUACAUAGCAAGUUCCAGAACAGCCACGGCUCAAUAGUGAGACCUCCAGGUCAGGUGCCAGCCUUGUCUCUGAGGGGGGAAGGGUUGGCACACUCUUCCUCAUCCUCUCCCAAUGGGAGGAUGCAGCUGGGUUUGCAUACACCCAAGGGUCUGGGGUACAUCCCCUACUGCUCCUCCUUCACCUGGUCUAGGGGUUAACAGGCAAAUCAUUGGUGGUAUUCCUGUUGAGCUAUUUGCAAACUGCACCUGCAAAUGCCAUUCUAUAGUAGGAAGUAUAAAUGCCUCCUCAAAGAAUAUGAGAGUCCCUAUCUGUCCCUCUUGUCUCCUAUCAGAGGCACUCACACUGGAGCCUGAGUUGGGAAUUUUGAUGCCUGCCUGGGUUCUACGUAUGCACAAAAAUAUGAAGUGGAAACUUGAGGGUUCUUUGGAAAGUCCGUUGGAUGAUGUUUUCCUGGGACAAACAUGUGAAGGAGUGCUUUCCUGAAGUGGACACAGGUUGAAAGGCUAAGGCUGACUCGUGAAGGAACGUUUCACUGAAGCAGACAAGUGAAAGGAUGUUCUGCUAAGGCAAGCACGUGAAAGAACACAUGAUGAAGGAUUCUUUGCUCACAACACACAUGUGUUGGUCUGCCUUACAUUGCAUAAUGGAGUUCCAUUUGUCAAGACUCCUUAGAGAGAAACACACCAAAAACUUUCUAGCGAUGGGCUGCUUGGGCUUGCGUUGAUUGACAGAGUGAUGUCAGCUGAGACAGAUGCAUGUGCUGAGGCAAGACACACAUGUGGAGGCAAGACUGGAGGACACAUGAUGUUUGGAGGGAAUGCAAAAGGACUCUAUGGAUAGUGACAGGGUGGGGUGGGGUGGAGUGGGGUGGGGCUGAGUUAGGCUUGCUUAUAGAGCAAGCUCGGCAAUGCUUGUUAGUCUCGUGUCUUCACUGAUCUUUGCUUCACUGAGAGAGGCACAGCUGAGAACUUCUCCUGACGUUCCUGCUGGCCCUUGAGGCCUGGCUGUCUGGGCUAGGUAGUGACUCCACUGCCGAUUCGUGUUUACUAUCCCGGCUCUGUUGAACUGGACUGCUGGUGUAUCUGUGGAGUAUUUGCCAGUGACACAAGUUGCCGCUACUAACCUGUGAACUGAACUGCCGAUUUCCAGACACAGAUGAGAGUUGCUCCAAAGAACCUUUCUAGACAGGUCCACUUUCUUCCUCCACACCUCAUAUCCUUUCUUUUCCACUACCUCUGGUGGGUGGUGGGCUACAAGGGAGGUUAAAGUGUUUUAAAAGCAUCAUUAAAAAUAAAGUUUGGGGGGCUGGAGAGAUGGCUCAGCAGGUAAGAGCACCCGACUGCUCUUCUGAAGGUCCAGAGUUCAAAUCCCAGCAACCACAUGGUGGUUCACAACCAUCCGUAACAAGAUCUGACUCCCUCUUCUGGAGUGUCUGAAGACAGCUACAGUGUACUUACAUAUAAUAAAUAAUAAAUCCUUAAAAAAAUAAAUAAAGUUUGGAAAAAUUAAAGUU
rnacentral:lncRNA from 1 species